rfam:Cavia porcellus supercont2_93 genomic scaffold, whole genome shotgun sequence.
AGCAAACUUCAAUUCGUGAACGUAAUCACUGGGUGUUUGUGCCAUGUGCGUCCAAUGUGCUUCCUUCAAAUCCUGCUACAACACUGGUACCUUCCCUGUCUGACA